rnacentral:lncRNA from 1 species
GCAUUGUCAAGAGUGGGGUUUUCUUUAAUUCAAAUUCAGUUGUAUGAUGUACAAAGGGUUCAUAUGAAGAUAUAAUGCAAACUAUAAAACUUCUAGAAUGCCUUUACUGAAUUUUGGUGUAAAGAGUAAACAAAAUUUCUUCUACAAAAUGAUUAGGAACUUUUUAUGCAAAAAUGAGUUAUUUUAUUUUGGCAGCACUAAAAGAAAAAAAAAAACCCACUGUAUUUCUACAUUGAGGUGAAAACAGUGUUUCAACUUUCUUAUCAAAUACAUUCCAAAAGAAAGUGUGUUCUAUGAAGGUUCCAAAGCACAGGCAAAUCUUAACACAAUAAUACAGGAAUCUGUAAUACUGAAAAUGUCUGUUCGGAUAGGGUGUUUAACAAACAUAACUUUUGAAUUAUAAAACCAGCGAAGCAAACCCUUCCUAGUAACCGUGUCGAGUGAAAUUGGGCUUGCUCCAUUAAUACUCUAAUGAUUCUAUUGUAAUACUUUUUACUGUUAUGACAAUUUUAAAUAAAGUUUGCUGUACUUAAAAUAAGUUUUGAAAGUGGAAAAGUGUACAAAGUUCCAGAUAAAAAGAUUAAGAGAUGCAAUUUAAAUAAAAUUUCUCCUCUUUUCUUUUACCAGUUAACAAUGAUUACCUUUAGCUGAUACAGAUUGAACUUUAAAACCCAACUCCUGAAAUGAAAACUUCUGUUUAAAUUUUUGUCAGACAGAGAAGGAAAAGAUUACUAUAUUUGGACAUCUUUUACAAGAAUUGUUUUUUUGUUUUUGUUUUUUUGUAUUAAAGCAGAAACCAGUUCCUAAACCCUUUUUAUUCAAUUGUUUAUCCUGUUUGGACAAAUAUCAAAAAAUAGAAGACUGUCACUUUUGCUUUUGUAAUUGUGAUUUUUCACUGCAGUCUUCUAUAACUUUUACAGAGUUCAUGGUCCCUAAUAUCUCCCCACCCUCCAUUUUUCCUAGGUGGGGAAAUGGCUGCCACAAACUUCUCACUGAUAGUUAGAGUGUCUGGAAACAAGUACUGUUUGUUAUUAUUUACGAGUGACUCAAUUUGGGCACUCUGGGUGGAUGGUCUACAGGUUUUCUUGUGGUGCAUACCACAGUCUCCAGCAUGAAAUAUCCUAGGAACUUGAGGAACCAGCACUUUCCAGAAUUUUGGAAGACAGGAUACAGUUAAAUAUUGAAGAGUCCAGUCCCAGUUAUAAUCAUCGUAAGUACAGAAAGUGUCUGUGCACUCAAUCAACUUCUGAUACGCAUCCCGGGUCAAGGCUAGACCCAUAUUGUGCUCUGUGGAUUUCCAAGUUUUCACGUCUACCUUGUCAGCAAUGCCAUGGAAACUGCGACUGGCCGUAUAGGUCCCCAGGGAGAGAACAUCACACUCAGGACACUCUUGCUGCUUUAACUUCCACAUCUUUUUGAAGACGUGGUAAAAGUCUGGGGCUAAGUAGUGAUCCUCCUCUAGGAAAAGUAUGAGGCCAGCAUAGUCUCGAAGAACUUUGACCCUUUCCCAUACAAAAUGCAGCUUCCACCACCAAUGGUGUUUGGUUUGGGAGAACUUGGCCUCUCUAUAAUGGCCAAAGGAGUCGGGAUACUCAGCAUUAAUGCAUCCCAUCUUCAAAGCUGCAUUCUUCUCCAGGUCUCGGGGGCAAUCUCUGGGGUCGCUGCCUGGAAACUCGUUGGGGUACAACUGAAUGCUGAAAGGAAAGAACACCUGCAGAACCGGACAGAAAUCCACCCCAGCGAUCAGUUGAUUGAUUUCUGUCGACCAGAAGUCAUGGCUAAAGAUGACGAGGACGCUGUCGAUGCCCUGGGCUUUCCGGAGGGAGUCCAGCAGCAGUCUGAGGUAAUCGGGCCGGUUAUGCACCUGGACCACCAGCACCAGCUCUCGAGGGAUCCAGGAGCCGGCCUUAUCUACAUUCCUCAGCGUCUGGUCGAAGUUCAGCUGGUACACUAGGGACCUGUACCGCAGCGUCAGGUUGUCCGCCUCGGGCUGCGGGGCCGCGGGGACCAGCGGAGCCGCCGACUCGUUGGAGACCCGGCGGAUGCCCACGGACACAGCCGAAUGGUCCCCGCCCCGGCCGCCCGCACCUCGCGCGGGCUCGGCGUCCAGCAGCGGCGGGGCGAGGGCCUCGUUUUUCCUUUGUCGCCCAUUGCUGCUCCAGAGGACGAAGCCGCAGGCGGCCACCACGAGCGUCAGGAUCAGCACCUUCCGCUUGUAGAUGCGGAACCUCAUGGUCUCCAGGGCCGGGAGCGCUGGCGGGCGGGCGCGAAAAGGAGCUAGCGGCUUUUGCACAGAAGGGGCGGGCGGGUGGCGGCCGUCGCCUUGGCCUGAGGCAGUCGGAACUGGACCCCGCGGCUGCGCUAGCUAACUCAUCCCGGGCCCCGGGGGUCCUGGGGCCCGAAGGGUCUCAGCUCCCCCGCGCCGCCCGGGCUCCACACAUCCUCGCCUGGCAGCUGCAGCUCGGGCAGCGGCCCCGCGGCUAGGAGCCGCGGCUCGGCAUCGCCUCGGUCCUCUCCAUUCAGCAAGGGUCCCGGAAGAAACCCCGCAGCGGCCCCACCGCACUCCCGCUUGGUUACCUGCGCCUCCAGCGGCCCUGCGUCCUCUGCGCUCUCAUCCUUACACGGGCCCUACACCUCCAAGACCGAGCGACGCAGCCUCGCCCCACUCCGGCGGCGACCGUUCU